GGGGUCGUUGUUGACUCUUUUCAAUUUCAUUUUCAGAUCAUCAGGUGCCAGAUAUAUAUAUAUAUAUAUAUAUAUAUAAGUGUAUGGGUUGAUCAAGAAUAAGGGGAUACAUAGUACAUUCUCCCAUGAUUAGCUAGCAAGAAUAAGAAUACUAUAAAGAUUAUUAUUCAACUUUUUUUCCUUUUUGUUUUUGUUUUUGAGUCUAGGGCUUGAUUUGUUGUGCUAAUUCUUGUUGCUCUCCAUAAAUACAGCAGUGGAAUAUACCGUAAUCAUUUGAAUAAUAAAAAGUCAGGCGUCUGAGUAGUUUAAUAUAA